rnacentral:rRNA from 1 species
AUGGAGCCGACCUUGAAAUACCACCCUUUAAUGUUUGAUGUUCUAACGUUGACCCGUAAUCCGGGUUGCGGACAGUGUCUGGUGGGUAGUUUGACUGGGGCGGUCUCCUCCUAAAGAGUAACGGAGGAGCACGAAGGUUGGCUAAUCCUGGUCGGACAUCAGGAGGUUAGUGCAAUGGCAUAAGCCAGCUUGACUGCGAGCGUGACGGCGCGAGCAGGUGCGAAAGCAGGUCAUAGUGAUCCGGUGGUUCUGAAUGGAAGGGCCAUCGCUCAACGGAUAAAAGGUACUCCGGGGAUAACAGGCUGAUACCGCCCAAGAGUUCAUAUCGACGGCGGUGUUUGGCACCUCGAUGUCGGCUCAUCACAUCCUGGGGCUGAAGUAGGUCCCAAGGGUAUGGCUGUUCGCCAUUUAAAGUGGUACGCGAGCUGGGUUUAGAACGUCGUGAGACAGUUCGGUCCCUAUCUGCCGUGGGCGCUGGAGAACUGAGGGGGGCUGCUCCUAGUACGAGAGGACCGGAGUGGACGCAUCACUGGUGUUCGGGUUGUCAUGCCAAUGGCACUGCCCGGUAGCUAAAUGCGGAAGAGAUAAGUGCUGAAAGCAUCUAAGCACGAAACUUGCCCCGAGAUGAGUUCUCCCUGACCCUUU